AGAGCGAACGCUGGCGGCAGGCCUAAUACAUGCAAGUCGAACGGAUCCUUCGGGAUUAGUGGCGGACGGGUGAGUAACACGUGGGAACGUGCCCUUUGGUUCGGAACAACUCAGGGAAACUUGAGCUAAUACCGGAUGUGCCCUUCGGGGGAAAGAUUUAUCGCCAUUGGAGCGGCCCGCGUCUGAUUAGCUAGUUGGUGGGGUAAAGGCCCACCAAGGCGACGAUCAGUAGCUGGUCUGAGAGGAUGAUCAGCCACACUGGGACUGAGACACGGCCCAGACUCCUACGGGAGGCAGCAGUAGGGAAUCUUGCGCAAUGGGCGAAAGCCUGACGCAGCCAUGCCGCGUGAAUGAUGAAGGUCUUAGGAUUGUAAAAUUCUUUCAGCGGGGACGAUAAUGACGGUACCGCAGAAGAACGCCCCGGCUAACUUCGUGCCAGCAGCCGC
rnacentral:rRNA from 1 species